rnacentral:tRNA from 1 species
GCGGGUGUCGUAUAAUGGUUAUUAUAUAUCCUUGCCAAGGAUAAGAUGGCAGUUCGAUUCUGCUCACCCGCUCCA